rnacentral:rRNA from 1 species
AUACGUAGGGGGCGAGCGUUGUCCGGAAUGAUUGGGCGUAAAGGGCGCGUAGGCGGCCUGUUAAGUCUGGAGUGAAAGUCCUGUUUUCAAGAUGGGAAUUGCUUUGGAUACUGAUGGGCUUGAGUGCAGGAGAGGGUAUCGGAAUUCCCGGUGUAGCGGUGAAAUGCGUAGAGAUCGGGAGGAACACCAGUGGCGAAGGCGGGUAACUGGAAGGCAACUGACGCUGAGGCGCGAAAGUGUGGGGAGCAAACAGGAUUAGAUACCCUGGUAGUCCACACUGUAAACGAUGAAUGCUAGGUGUAAGAGGUAUCGACCCCUUUUGUGCCGGAGUUAACACAAUAAGCAUUCCGCCUGGGGAGUACGGCCGCAAGGUUGAAACUCAAAUGAAUUGACGGGG